GACGAACGCUGGCGGCGUGCUUAACACAUGCAAGUCGAGCGGUAAGGCCCUUUCGGGGGUACACGAGCGGCGAACGGGUGAGUAACACGUGGGUGACCUGCCCUCAGCUCUGGGAUAAGCCUGGGAAACCGGGUCUAAUACUGGAUAUGACUCCAUGACGCAUGUUGUGGGGUGGAAAGCCUUGUGCGGCUGAGGAUGGGCCCGCGGCCUAUCAGCUUGUUGGUGGGGUGANGGCCUACCAAGGCGACGACGGGUAGCCGGCCUGAGAGGGCGACCGGCCACACUGGGACUGAGACAC
rnacentral:rRNA from 1 species